AAGUCGUAACAAGGUUUCCGUAGGUGAACCUGCGGAAGGAUCAUUAACACUAAACCCGUGAUGGCCGGCUCGUCCGCGCCUCACACCUACUAUCCACCCGUGGUCUUGUUUCGUCCCUUUGCCGCAAGGUGAAGGUUUAUCCGCUCGAUCGCUGAGUUCCGGAUGCCGGCGCCCAGUGGCGACGGUGAGUGCCACCGCGUACUUACCCGAGCCGUAUAGGUCGAGGGCCAUUUCAGCUAUUUUUUCUGCAUUCCAUACCUGCACUUAACCCAUAUGCAUGCGAAAGCAUGUGUAUGUUAUUGGCUUCGGUCAAUAAACCAAAUACAACUCGUAGCAACGGAUGUCUCGGCUAAC
rnacentral:misc_RNA from 1 species